UUGUUGGCUAAUGCGAGCAGUGUGCGUUCGGGCGUUAUCCUACUGAUAAAGGGCAUUGGGUACCCCCUGAAGGUAGGGGAGUGUCACCGGUCGCAGCACAUCAUCAACGUAUCGUUGGGCCGUCAUAGUGCCCUGAAUACGAAGUAAAGGUGACCUGGAAUCAUACGCGAUUGCGCCCCAAACCAUGAUUCCACGUUGUCGCACGGUGGGGCGUUCCACAAUUGCUGCCGGAUUGGACCUUUCUCCACGUCGACGCCACACGCGCACACGGCGACUAUCACUGGACAAGCAGAAACGCGACUCAUCUGAGAACACGACCCUGUGCCAUUCCGUCAUCCACGUCGAUCUAGCCCGGCACCAUUCCAAACGUUGGCGCCUAUUCGGUGGGGUCAAUGGCAGUCUUCUUAGCGGACGGCAUGAGUGCAAGCCAUUAGCAACCAAUCGACGGGAAAUGGUUCUGGUCGAGAUGGAAUGAUCUAGGGUGUCUUGCACAUGUUGCAGGAUGGCGGUACAAGUGGCUUGUGGGGCCGCCACUGCUUGUCGAAGGAUACGCCGAUCCACACGUGCUGACGUCACUCUGGUUGCACCGACAUUCCUAUAAAUUGCCACAUUUCCUUGUUCCAACCAUCUUCUCCACAGUCGGUGCACCGUGGACGCACCAAGGUGUGUAUCAGCUGCGAUUUGAUGUAUGGACCAACAUGCCCUUUCAGUCCGAUCACCAUGCCCCUCGUAAAAGCGUCUGUCUGCUUGAACUGCCUCCGUUUACGAUGACCUGGCAUUAUCUGUUAUUACACGUGUCUUUUGACACAAGAACAAAAUUUCUACAAUGAUUUUCCUUGAAGAAAUAACGCCACGAAUACUGUCCUUUCUGCAAGUUCCUUCCCUUAUAUCUUACUCCAUGUGCGCACGAGAGCUGCGCAUUUUACAUCAUUUGCAUAACUCGGUUAGGCGCGUCUACCCUGAAAUUUGCAUAAUUUUCUGGCCACUAUUUCUUGGUGUUCCAUUUUCAAUGUCACGCAGUGUAUCAUCGCCUCGCCUUCUUGUAACUCCUUCACUACUGUCAAUAAAGUAUAAACCCUUCGACCUCUUGUUUAUACUGUACUACUGCCGAUAAAUUAUCUUCGCUUCGCCUUCUUGUAACUACUGUACCACUGUCAAUAAAAUGUCAAUGUCUCGCCUUUUCGUAACUUCUUUACCACUGUCAAUAAAAUAUCAAUGCCUGGCUUUAUUGCAAAUACUGUACCACUCUCAAUGAAGUAUCAACCCUUCGACUUCUUGUAAAUACUGUACCACGGUCAAAAAAUUGUCUUCGCCUCGAUUUCUUUUAACUUUGUACUACUGUCAAUAAUAAUCUGAUUUUUGCCUACUUGUAACAACUGAAAUACUGUAAAUAAAUAUCAUCCCCUCAAGCAUUUCUAACUACUGUACCACUGUAAAAAAAAAUAUUAUCGCUUCGCCUUCUUAUAAAUACUGUACUACUAUCAAUAAAGUAUCAUCGCCUAGCCUUCUUGUGACUAAUAUACCACUGUCAAAAUAGUAUCAUCUUCUCGUCUACUGGUAACUACUGUACCAAUUUCAAUAAAGUAUCAUCGUCUCGCUUUCAUGUUACUACUGUACUACUGUCAAUAAAAUGGAAAAAACGCCUCGCUUUCUUAUAACUACUGUACCAUUGUCAAUAAAAUAUCAUCGUCUCGCCUUCAUGUAACUACUCUACUAUUGUCAAAAAAAUAUCUGCGUCUUUCUUUAUUGUAACUACUGUUCCGCUGUCAAUAAAGUAUCACCCCCUCGCCUUUAAUAACUACUGUUUACUGUGAAUAAAGUUUCUUCGACUCAACUUCUAGCAAUUAAUGUACCACUAUCAAUAAACUAUCAUCGCCUCCUCUUUUUCAAAAUACUGUAUCAAUAUCAAUAAAUUAUCAAUGUAUUUUUUGUAACUACUGUAGCACUGUCAAUAAAGUAUCAUUGCCUAGUCUUCUUGUAACUAAUGUACCACUGCCAAAAGAAUAUCAUCGUCUCGCUUUCUUGUAACUAAUGUUCAAAUGUCAAUAAAGUACCAUCGCCUCGCCUUCUAGAAAAUAUUGUGCAAUUGUCAAUAAAGUGUCAUCACCUCGCCUUUUCUUAACUACUUUACCACUCUCAAUAAAAUAUCAUCACCUCGCCUUCAAGAAACUAUUUUACCAUUGUCAAUAUAGUGCCUUCGCCUUUCCUUCUUGUAAAUACUUUAUCCCUGUCAAUGAAGUGUCAUCGCCUCGCCUUCUUGUAACUACUGUACUACUGCCAAUAAAAUAUCAUCGUAUCGCUUUUUUUUUCAACCACGAACCACUUUAAAUAAGGAAUCAUUGCCUCUCUUUCUAAUAACUACUGUACCACUUUCAAUAAAGUAUCAUCGACUCGUUAUCUUGUAACUACUGUACUACUGUUAAUAAAAUAUCAUCACCUCGCCUUUUUGUAACUACUGUACCACUGUCAAUAAAGUAUCAAUCCUUCGACUUCUUAUAAAUACUGCACCACGAUCGAAAUAUUUUCUUCGCCUCGCUUUAUUUUAACGGCUGUACUACUGUCAAAAUAGUAUCAUCGUCUCGGUUUUUUGUACUGUAUAACAGUCAAAUACAGGGUGAUCCAAAAGUCCCGCACAACUUUAAAAAUUAAUAACUCCGCGAAUAUUUGCGCUAGAGCAAUGCGGUAAACACCAUUGUGUUCAGGAUGCAAUGGGAUUUUUUAUGGCAAAUAAUGAAAAAUUUGAAAUUGAUUUUAGUUACAACUUUAUUCGCUAGAUGGCGCUCUACCAGAAUCAGCGAUUCAGCGGCCAAAUUGUUUGAUAAAUUAAAAAAUAUAACUGAACGACACGUAUUUUUUCUUUUUGAAUACCAGGAAAGAACCCUAAUAAUAUCAAAUGAUAAAAUAAUAAAACACCAUUUCGCCAAAAGUUAGAAGAAAUGGUUAACGAUUUUUAAAUAGUAAAAAAAAAUUAAAAUGUUGAGGUACAGCUUGCACCACGCUGACGAGUGGGUAACCCCCUCGAUUCCCGACAGUCAUGAACCGGGAUUGAAUCCCGCUUUUAUAUUUUGUUUAAUAUGUGAAUAAUCUUCACAUAUUAUUCAUUGUUCAAUUAUCAUGAACUAGGUUGCUCUUGCUGAGCGGUACCUAUUUACGUGAAUUUGAACCAGGAUCUGAGAUAUGUAAAAUAGGUAUAUGUAAAUUAAAACAUGUAGCAAAAAAAAAACCUGAUAUUUUAGAUGCGGUUUGCUUGAAUUAGCUCAGCUGAAAUACUAUUACGGCCCCCUCGGCCCAGCAAAAAAGUGUAAUUUUUGAAAAUUUUGAAAAAUACUUUAAGCAUGAUCCAAAUGAAAUAUUAAUUGUAAUAAUGGUAAAAAUAAGUGUUGAAAACAUUAUAAAAGAUACAUUUUAAAAAUAAAUUCAAUAUAUAUUUUAUUAUUAAAUUUAGAAAAAAUCAAAAUUUUAUUUAAAAAAUGAAAAUCACUCCAACUCAAAAAUGAUCCAAAAAUAAAUUUAUAUAAUGAAAAUGACAUUUAUUUUUUAAAAAAUGAAGUAAUUUAUAUAUAUAUACAAUAAUUUAAUGCGAUAAAAUAAUUUUUAUACCUUAUAAUAAUCUUUUAUUGUAUGGUACAGUUUGAAGCAAUCACCAAGGCAUAGUGGAACUAGGCAGGUCUCACAUUCAUAGGCUGUAUCUUUUCUUGCCUGCUUGCCAGUGGUUACCCUGCCUUUUUCAGCGCAAACUUUGCAUCUGCGUUGGGCAUAUGUUUUGCCUUCAACUUUGAUUCGGCGAAUAAAAUGACGUCUAAUAAGUGGAUCAGAUUGUUCACCGCUUGAAGGUUGAGCAUCAAGAAUAUCUUGAUUGGCUUCUGAGCAAAGAGCUUCGCAUAUUGAAAUAUGGAAGUCCCUCAAAGACAUUUUAGCAUCAGGAUUCAAUUAAUUGUAAAUUAUGCAUGAAUUUACAAUAGCAAGUCCAUAUAUAUGGAAAAAUAGUUUCUUCCACCAUUUCAUUGUGCGUCGAUCAAAAGAAUAAUAGGAGAGCAUCUGGUCACUUCGGUCCACUCCAAUUUUAUUCUUAUUGUAGUCAAGAACAACUUGUGGUUUGAAUAUUGGAGCUUGCGAAAGUCCAGGUCUCCCCAUGACUUCAACCAUUUGAUGGUCGUGAACAGUUGAGAUCAUCCAAACAUCUCUGGUGUGGCGCCAUUUCAUUGCCAUUAGGCUACCCUUGAAUAGAUGCAUUUCUUCACCUUUCUUCAAUUUUUUUGAAAAGGAUUUCUUAGGAAGACCUUUCCUAUUAGUUUUUACUGUACCAACAGCCAUUGUAUUCUUUUCCCAUAGAUAGUUGAAGAGGUGGGGCGAAGAAAACCACCUGUCACAAUAAAUGAUGUGACCUCUGUUGAAGAGAUGAGAGGCCAAUCGUUCUACCAAAUUUGGUAUAGAGUUAUAGCCUUCUUCCUGGCUUGGAUGUUUACCUGUGUAUAUGUUGAUAUUACAGGUAUAACCAGAAUUGGCUUCACAAAUAUGGUAGAUCUUUAUUCCAUAUUUGUGAGGCUUGCCUUUUAUGUAAAUACGGAACCUUAUUCUUCCUCUGAAUGGACAAAUAGCUUCAUCAAUGGUCAGAUUCUGGGUCGGGGAAUAAAGGCAUUGGAAUUUUUUGGUAAGAGGAUCUAGAAAAGUUCUUAUUUUAUAUAGAGGAUCAUGUCCACUUUGUCCAAAAGGAAUAUAGGAAGAAUUAUCAGCCAGGUGAAGCAUUGACAAAAUUGCUUCGAACCUAUUUCUAGCCAUUAUUUUUUUACAGAAUCUUGAUCUUAAACUUCUCUUCAUUAGCAGUUCCGCCGGGGAAUUCCUUUAUUACAGUUUGGGGGAAUGCUCGAUGAGCAAAUAGGAAACUUUGUAGAUUCGUCUCUAAAUCAUCCUUCCCAUUAUUCUUUCUCAAAAGGUUUUUAAACUCUCUUACAUAUCUCUCAGCUAAACCAUUUGUACUAGGAUUAUACGGACUGGUCUUAGUGUGCCGUAUACCAUUCAUUUUGGUAAAUUGCUCGAAUUCACCGGAGACAAACUGUCUUCCGUUAUCUGUAACAAAAAAUUAGGGCAAUCCAAUUCUGGCGAGAAUUUCUCUAAGAUGACUUAUAAUAGUUUUUCUGGUAAUAUCUUUGAUGAUAAAAAUUUCUAUCCCCUUUGAGUAUGCGUCCACGAGAACCAAAAACAUUCUUCCCAUGAACGGACCCGCUAGAUCAAGAUGAAGUCGAUGCCACGGUUUUUCGGGCCAAGUCCAUUCCGAGAUGGUAGCCGGGGGCAUGCUUGCCGAUUCUUGGCAUACUCUACAUUCUCUAGUUAACUCCUCGAUGUUACUGUCUAUGCCUGACCACCAGAAAAUACCGUCUGGCAAUCAUCUUCAUUUUAACAAUCCCCAUGUGUAUUUCAUGCAAGUCAUUUAAAAUUAAAGAUCUUAAUUUUUGGGGAAUUACCACUCUUUCACGCCAUUGAAGACAACCAAACUCCAAACUUAAUUCCUCAUUGAUCUUAUAAUGAGGAGCUAGUGGGUUUUCUCUCGGUACCCUUGUGAAUUUCCACACACACAGUGGCCUUCUCUAACAUUCCUUAAUACUAUAGACAGUGUUUUAUCUUGGGGCGUCUCAUAUGCCACCUCCAUAAAAGAGAACGGUACCUCAUUCAACUUCCAAAGAAGAAGUACCUGGUCUUCAUCAAGAGACUCCCUGACACUCGAUUCUAAAGGAAGACGUGACAAUGCGUAACAUUGGAAUUAUCACUAGUUUUUUGAAAUUCCACAGUAUAAUUAAAUGCAGCUAAUUUUAAGGACCAUCUUUUAAUUCUAGAUAAUACACAUAUGGGAAUUGGUUUAUGAGGUGAAAAUAUAUGAAUUAAGGGUCGGUUGUCUGUGACCAAUACAAAUUUUCGUCCCAGUAAGUAUUUUCUGAAUUUCUCAACGCCAUAAGUUAUGCUCAACGCUUUCUUUUCUAGUUGAGAGAAACGUUUUUCCGCUUCAGUUAGUGUUCUAGAAGCAAAAGCUAUAGGGCAUUUUACCUUUCUAUCAUUUAUAUGACUCAGAAUUACGCCUAGUCCAUAGUCCAUUAAUAAUGAUUUACAUUUUUCAAAUAACAUUCGAUAUUCUUUCGUCCAAUUCCAUCUACAAUUUUUAUUCAAAAGUUGAUAGAAUAGCGCUAAAAUGUUUGCUAUAUUCUUUAUGAAUCUAUUAUAAUAAAUUAAGAGUCCUAUGAAAGAUCUUAAUUGCGAAACAUUAAAGCAGUGAUAGAGGCGCCUGAACCUAAAGAAUUUUAUUUUCUAAGGGAUGCAGUCUAUAUUUAUCCAUUUUAAACCCUAAAUAUUCCACCGAUUUCUUUUUAAAUUUACAUUUAUAUCUGUUUAACUUUGAACCUUUUUCUAGAAAUCAUCUAAACACUAGAUCCAACUUUUGUUCAUAAUCUUCAAAGUCUUUUCCUGCAACCAAAAUAUAAUCUAUGUAGCAGGCCACACCUGGCAAAUAAGCAAAUAGAACUUCCAUAAUCCUCUGAAAUUUAUUUGGUGCUACCGCUACGUCAUAUGGUAGUCUUUUAUAAGAAAACAACCUCUUUGUUACGUUUAUAUCAACAACAGCUUUGGCUUCUUCCGCUAACAUUACUCGUAAUUAAGCCUGUGAUAGGUCUAGAGUCGAAAGUACGGUGCUUGUAGAUAAUUUUGAAAAUAUCUCAUCGAUCGAUGGAAUGGGAUACCUAUCAAAUUCUAUUGCUUUAUUAGCUGUACAUCUAAAAUAACCACAUUUACUUACACUACUAUCCUUUUUUAAUACCGGGACUAUUGGAGCGGUCCAAUAUGCUUGAACUAUUCUAUAUAUAGUUACGAGCGUCAUUCCUCAUCUCCUAAUCAACAAUCAGUCAUCAGUUUUCAUCUCUGUCACCGUUUGCUUUUUUUUUUUUGGAAUGGCGCCCUCCUAUUGGUUGGCUACGGUCACGCCACCUUUGCCCCCCCCACUCGCCUUUUCGUUUAUGUAAUUAUUGUGUUGGUGCGGGUCGCUCCUUAAAUAAAUGCAUAUAUUAGUUAAUAACCAAAUGGAAUCCUCUCUUUCUUUUUCCCUGUAAGAGACGCCUACGGAAGCCAACAGUACAUAGACAAAUAAAGCACAUAGGCUAUAGUUAUUAACUAACAUAUGCAUUUAUUUAAGGCGCCAAUUUAUAAUUGUAACAAAUAGUAUUUGAAUCAAAACAUUCUAUCGGGUAAAACACGGGCGUUGCCCCGGUCAUUCGGCUAGUAGGUUAUAAAAUGCAAGAAUUCACUAAACGAUCAAUUUCAUUUUCUACUUUGUUUUUUAGAGAGAAAGGUAAACUUCUGGCCUUACAAAACACAGGAGUCAUAUCCUUUUUUAAAUUAAAAUUUAUUUUUACAUCCUUUAGACAGCCUAAAUCUUUGUGUUAAACAAAUGUGCAUAUCUAUCAAUCAAACUAUUUCUAUUAGAUUCAUUAUUUAAAUUUUUAAUGCUAAACAAUCUCGAAUAAUCAAGUUUUAACUGUUUAAGCCAUUCUUUUUCUAACAAAAUCACCUGGAAUUUUCAUUUAUAACUAUUAAUCGUAAAUAUUGGUUGGCUUUUUUACA